rnacentral:rRNA from 1 species
AGGAUGAACGCUGGCGGUCUGCUUAACACAUGCAAGUCGAACGGAGUACCUCGGUACUUAGUGGCGGACGGGUGAGUAACGCGUGAGAAUCUGCCCUUAGGUCGGGGACAACCAUUGGAAACGAUGGCUAAUACCGGAUAAGCCGAGAGGUAAAAAGAUUAAUUGCCUAGGGAAGAGCUCGCGUCUGAUUAGCUAGUUGGUGAGGUAAAGGCUCACCAAGGCAUCGAUCAGUAGCUGGUCUGAGAGGAUGAUCAGCCACACUGGGACUGAGACACGGCCCAGACUCCUACGGGAGGCAGCAGUGGGAAUUUUCCGCAAUGGGCGAAAGCCUGACGGAGCAAGACCGCGUGAGGGAGGAAGGCUCUUGGGUUGUAAACCUCUUUUCUUGGGAAGAACAAAAUGACGGUACCCAAGGAAUCAGCAUCGGCUAACUCCGUGCCAGCAGCGC